rnacentral:tRNA from 1 species
ACCUGGGUGGCUCAGUUGGUUAAGCAUCUGACUUUGGCUCAGGUCAUUAUCUCACAGUUCGUGGGUUUGAGUCCCACGUCAGAUU